CGCAUCUGUGCAUGCAGCAUAUCAAUAAGCGGAGGAAAAGAAACUAACAAGGAUUCCCCUAGUAACGGCGAGUGAAGCGGGAAGAGCUCAAAUUUGAAAUCUUAAAGGGUUUCCCUUUACGAAUUGUAGUUUAAAGAAGUGUUUUCUGUUGAGGUUUUGGUAAAAGUUCUUUGGAAUAGGACAUCAUAGAGGGUGAGAAUCCCGUAUUUGACCUUUACUUUCAACUUUGUGAUACACUUUCAAAGAGUCGGAUUGUUUGGGAAUGCAGUCCAAAAUGGGUGGUAAAUUUCAUCUAAAGCUAAAUAUUGGCGAGAGACCGAUAGCGAACAAGUACCGUGAGGGAAAGAUGAAAAGAACUUUGAAAAGAGAGUUAAACAGUACGUGAAAUUGUCAAAAGGGAAGCGUUUGACACCAGUGUUGUUUUUCUGAAAAUCAAUUAAAGAACUGUUUAUGCUAAGUUGUUUAGACUUUAUCAGCUAACUGUUUAGUUUCGAGCUUUUCUUUAAGUGCACUUUUCAGUUAACAAGUCAACAUCAAUUUCUUUUGCUGUAAAAAAGCUUGAGGAAGGUGGCUUGAGAUUCGUCUUAAGUGUUUAUAGCCUCUUGCCUAUGCAGUCGGAGAGAUUGAGGUCUGCAGCGUAGAUCCUUCGGGGCUAAAUGCAUUUGUGCUAAGUUAUAGCAUUUUAUAGACAACUUGUUGACUAUGAUUUGUCUUGUAGCUUACUCGCUUAUGUUAUUUUACCUACGCUUAGGAUGUUGAGUCAUCACACAUCUCU
rnacentral:rRNA from 1 species